UCCUACGGGGGGCAGCAGUGGGGGAUAUUGCACAAUGGGGGAAACCCUGAUGCAGCGACGCCGCGUGAGCGAUGAAGUAUUUCGGUAUGUAAAGCUCUAUCAGCAGGGAAGAAAAUGACGGUACCUGACUAAGAAGCCCCGGCUAACUACGUUCCAGCAGCCGCGGUAAUACGUAGGGGGCAAGCGUUAUCCGGAUUUACUGGGUGUAAAGGGCGUGUAGCCGGGCCGGCAAGUCAGAUGUGAAAUCCCAAGGCUCAACCUUGGAACUGCAUUUGAAACUGUUGGUCUUGAGUAUCGGAGAGACA
rnacentral:rRNA from 1 species